rnacentral:lncRNA from 1 species
AUGGUUUCACUAUGGGAACUCUCAGCGUCACUUCUCACGGUCAAAUUUGUGUUAAUUUACAUCCCAGAUGAAGCAUUUUCCGUCAAAAUGAAGGCCCCAAAUGAAGCUCUGGAAUUUUUUAAGAAUGACAUAGAUGAAAUGAAGAAAGCUGAGACUGAGCGGCUCGAGGCAAUACAAGCUGUCUUCUCAAAGUCAAGACUGAUGGCGGAUUUAAACGUAAAAGAACUGCUGAAUCAAAUGGCGUCCCAAGACGAAAUUCUCAUCGAAAUUCGAAAAACGCUGGAGAGUAUGCUUUGGACCUUGGGAGUUGCCAAUCAGGUUGAAUUUACGAGGCUCGUUGAGAAACUCAGAGGCCAAAUAAGACAAAUGGAUUCAAAUGAACUCGAAAUCAAGAGAAAAGAGAAAUCACUUCCACCACACCUCUUACAGGAUGAUGAGUUGAAAAAAUUGAUGGAUGCACUUCAAACGGAUUAUGUUUGCAUAACUGCAACUGUAGGCGCAGUUAAAGCAAUGAGUCCGGUUGAAAUAUGAGAUUGGAAGCCUUUUCAUGGCAAAAAGAUCUCUUGCGGACCAAAGGGUCGACAAAAGAGGGCAAAAAGGAUGCUGAACGAAAAAGCCGAUUGAAAAAUGAUAUAAUGGAACUCACCUGAAACUUGUCAUGGUGUAAGUUGAGGAAGCGCUUGACUCUGGCGGUGUCAUUUGUGCGGAUGGCAGUCUCUAACUCGACGCCGAUAUUCUCCGCGAGUCCAACAGACGAUUCUAGGCUGCUCAACACACAAUAAAAGACGAAUAUUACUCAGAGAAUUAUUAUUAUUAUUAUCGAAUAUGAUACGUUCUUGUGACACAUUCUACCCUGUUAUAAUAAUAGUAUGUUACCAUAUCAAAAAAGAAACGAGAAAAAACACUAAGAGAUGGUCCGAACCAUAUGAGGCAAAGAAAUGGUGCUGGGUUCACACCAUGUCGCGAGGAAGCCCUAGCCAAAAAGUUCCGAAGAUUUCAAUCGAAUCAAAAGUAUUGUACCGGUACUUAUUAGAGCUCCAUACAUUUUUUGACUUUAAUUGACAUUUUAGGCUUUGAUUCCCCCGCAAAAUCGUGUAGACCUAGCACCAUUUCUCCAUCUUGUCAAAAAGGAAAUCGAAUCAAAAUUGACUUAAUUUUCGAGUAAAAUUUGACCAUAUUGCAAUGGAGAACUUGCCCGACAAAAUGUCAUUGCUGUAUCGGAGAGUGCUUGAUGAGCCAAGUUCGCAGUAUUUUUCAUGAAUUUAUUCUGAUAGGAAAUUCUAGAGAAGUAAAUUUAAAUGUGAGAAAAUGUACCGCUUUGUGACGUCAUUUAGCGGAAUUUCCUAUUUGAACACAUGGGUUUUAAGUCAUAAGGUUAUUCUGUCAUAUUUCCUCCGAUCUAUCAAUAUAGAAACCAACAGCAUUUUCGUGUUUAUAGUUCUCUUGGUUAAUCAUGAAAUUCAGAAAAUUUCAGGCAUCUGCAAAUGGGUCAGUUACGCUAGUUACAGAAUUAUUUUUUGACAUUUGAUUUUUGAAGAUUCGCUAAAUAUAAUAUCAUUCCAAAUAGCAACUUUCUACGUUGAGUGUUAAUUGAGAUAUUGCGCUUUGGAAGGUUCGGUUCAUGACGCCAUCCACCGCAGUAGUGACACCCUUGGUUUCUUCCACAUCGUUUUGGUCAGUCAGGGCAAAACACAUCUGCACCGGUUACUCAACGUGUAACUCUCUGAUAUUUGAUUCUUGUAGAUUCGCUAAAUAUAAUAAGAUCAGCCCAAAUAGCAACUUUCUACGUUGAGUGUUAAUCGAGAUAUUGCUUUUUGGAAGAUUCGGUUAAUGACGUCAUCCACCGCAGUAGUGAAAUCCUUGGUUUCUUCCACAUCGUUUUGGUCAGUCAGGGAAAAACACAUCUGCAUCGGUUACUCAAUGUGUAACUCGGAUGAAAGCAAGGCGGAAGAAACCAAGGGUGUCACUAUCACGGUGUAUGACGUCACAACCCGAAUUUUUCGAAGCGCGUAAGUAUAGAGCGCAGUUGACAUUGAACGUAGAAAAAUGCUGUUUGGACGGCUUUCAUCAUUUUUAGCUGAUCGGCACGAAUCAAGCAUCAAAACACGAUUUUUUGUCCAGCGCAACUGACCCAUUCUCCGUUAUACUUUAAUUUGUAUUGAUUCUGAAUGAAAUUCGGCCUUUCAGUGUUUGACUAUCCCACAAGCUGCAGCGUGCAGCAGAUGAAAGCUCAUUUUCAAAUAGAUGCUCCUCCUAAAUUUGGCAGGGCGGAAAUCCGCAACACAUUAAUCCCGUUCUGGCAGGUGAGCAAUAAGAAAGCGGUGCAGGUUGCCUAAACAGUAUUUUAAGGCGCGAGCAAUUAAUUCCGGUUAAGACGCGGCCCGCGGGUGCUUCCCGCCUCGAGCCCUCCGACCCG